rnacentral:lncRNA from 12 species
CUUUGUUAUUGACUUUAAAUGGUAGCAGAAUAGAGCAAAUUCUAGAAAUCUUACUUCUUGGAAAUCCUUUCUUUAGAUCUUACUCAGAGACAUUCAAGUGGCAACCAAGGUGACAGAAAAACUUUUCACCAUUUUCCACACUCACUGAAGGCCAGCCUGUAAACAGACAAGAAAAUUAAAAGGUGCACAAGCCUCC